rnacentral:rRNA from 1 species
AGUGGGGAAUCUUAGACAAUGGGCGCAAGCCUGAUCUAGCCAUGCCGCGUGAGUGAAGAAGGCCUUAGGGUCGUAAAGCUCUUUCGCCUGUGAAGAUAAUGACUGUAGCAGGUAAAGAAACCCCGGCUAACUCCGUGCCAGCAGCCGCGGUAAUACGGAGGGGGUUAGCGUUGUUCGGAAUUACUGGGCGUAAAGCGCGCGUAGGCGGACAUUUAAGUCAGGGGUGAAAUCCCGGGGCUCAACCCCGGAACUGCCCUUGAUACUGGGUGUCUUGAGUUCGAGAGAGGUGAGUGGAAUUCCGAGUGUAGAGGUGAAAUUCGUAGAUAUUCGGAGGAACACCAGUGGCGAAGGCGGCUCACUGGCUCGAUACUGACGCUGAGGUGCGAAAGUGUGGGGAGCAAACAGGAUUAGAUACCCUGGUAGUCCACACCGUAAACGAUGAAUGCCAGUCGUCGGGCAGCAUGCUGUUCGGUGACACACCUAACGGAUUAAGCAUUCCGCCUGGGGAGUACGGCCGCAAGAUUA